UACGAAGGGGGCUAGCGUUGCUCGGAAUGACUGGGCGUAAAGGGCGCGUAGGCGGUUCAUACAGUCAGAUGUGAAAUUCCUGGGCUCAACCUGGGGGCUGCAUUUGAUACGUGUGGACUAGAGUGGGGAAGAGGGUCGUGGAAUUCCCAGUGUAGAGGUGAAAUUCGUAGAUAUUGGGAAGAACACCGGUGGCGAAGGCGGCGACCUGGUCCGUUGACUGACGCUGAGGCGCGACAGCGUGGGGAGUCAAACAGG
rnacentral:rRNA from 1 species